CCUACGGGCGGCAGCAGUGGGGAAUAUUGCACAAUGGGCGAAAGCCUGAUGCAGCAACGCCGCGUGAGCGAUGAAGGCCUUCGGGUCGUAAAGCUCUGUCCUCAAGGAAGAUAAUGACGGUACUUGAGGAGGAAGCCCCGGCUAACUACGUGCCAGCAGCCGCGGUAAUACGUAGGGGGCUAGCGUUAUCCGGAAUUACUGGGCGUAAAGGGUGCGUAGGUGGUUUCUUAAGUCAGAGGUGAAAGGCUACGGCUCAACCGUAGUAAGCCUUUGAAACUGGGAAACUUGAGUGUGUGAGAGGAUAGUGGAAUUCCAGGUGUAGGAGUGAAAUCCGUAGAUAUCUGGAGGAACAUCAGUGGCGAAGGCGACUAUCUGGCACAUAACUGACGCUGAGGAGCGAAAGCGUGGGUAGCAAACAGGAUUAGAUACCCUGGUAGUC
rnacentral:rRNA from 1 species